rnacentral:rRNA from 1 species
AGAGUUUGAUCCUGGCUCAGGAUGAACGCUGGCGGCGUGCUUAACACAUGCAAGUCGAACGAAGCACUUUAUUUGAUUUCCUUCGGGACUGAUUAUUUUGUGACUGAGUGGCGGACGGGUGAGUAACGCGUGGGUAACCUGCCUCAUACAGGGGGAUAACAGUUAGAAAUGACUGCUAAUACCGCAUAAGACCACAGCACCGCAUGGUGCAGGGGUAAAAACUCCGGUGGUAUGAGAUGGACCCGCGUCUGAUUAGGUAGUUGGUGAGGUAACGGCCCACCAAGGCGACGAUCCAUAGCCGACCUGAGAGGGUGACCGGCCACAUUGGGACUGAGACACGGCCCAAACUCCUACGGGAGGCAGCAGUGGGGAAUAUUGCACAAUGGGGGAAACCCUGAUGCAGCGACGCCGCGUGGAGGAAGAAGGUCUUCGGAUUGUAAACUCCUGUUGUUGAGGAAGAUAAUGACGGUACUCAACAAGGAAGUGACGGCUAACUACGUGCCAGCAGCCGCGGUAAAACGUAGGUCACAAGCGUUGUCCGGAAUUACUGGGAGUAAAGGGAGCGCAGGCGGGAAGGCAAGUUGGAAGUGAAAUCCAUGGGCUCAACCCAUGAACUGCUUUCAAAACUGUUUUUCUUGGGUAGUGCAGAGGUAGGCGGAAUUCCCGGUGUAGCGGUGGAAUGCGUAGAUAUCGGGAGGAACACCAGUGGCGAAGGCGGCCUACUGGGCACCAACUGACGCUGAGGCUCGAAAGUGUGGGUAGCAAACAGGAUUAGAUACCCUGGUAGUCCACACUGUAAACGAUGAA